rnacentral:pre_miRNA from 2 species
UAGGGUGAGGGUUGCAGUAAGGCUGGUACUGAUGUAAUGGCUGUCCCCAGUACCAGACAUGCUGCCUUCCUCCCCCUACA